GACGAACGCUGGCGGCGUGCUUAACACAUGCAAGUCGAACGGAAAGGCCCCCUUGUGGGGUACUCGAGUGGCGAACGGGUGAGUAACACGUGAGUAACCUACCCUUGACUUUGGGAUAACUUCAGGAAACUGGGGCUAAUACCGGAUAGGAGCUCCUGCUGCAUGGUGGGGGUUGGAAAGUUUCGGCGGUUGGGGAUGGGCUCGCGGCUUAUCAGCUUGUUGGUGGGGUAGUGGCUCACCAAGGCUUUGACGGGUAGCCGGCCUGAGAGGGUGACCGGCCCCAUUGGGGAUGAGAUACGGCCCAGACUCCUACGGGAGGCAGCAGGGGGGAAUAUUGCACAAGGGGCGGAAGCCUGAUGCAGCAACGCCGCGGGCGGGAUGACGGCCUUCGGGUUGUAAACCGCUUUCGCCUGGGACGAAGGGUGAGGGGCGGGAAUGGGUAAAGGAACACCGGCUAACUACGC
rnacentral:rRNA from 1 species